GACGAACGCUGGCGGCGUGCCUAAUACAUGCAAGUUGAGCGCUGAAGGUUGGUACUUGUACCAACUGGAUGAGCAGCGAACGGGUGAGUAACGCGUGGGGAAUCUGCCUAUGAGCGGGGGACAACAUUUGGAAACGAAUGCUAAUACCGCAUAAAAACUUUAAACACAAGUUUUAAGUUUGAAAGAUGCAAUUGCAUCACUCAAAGAUGAUCCCGCGUUUUAUUAGCUAGUUGGUGAGGUAAAGGCUCACCAAGGCGAUGAUACAUAGCCGACCUGAGAGGGUGAUCGGCCACAUUGGGAAUGAGACACGGCCCAAACUCCUACGGGAGGCAGCAGUAGGGAAUCUUCGGCAAUAGCCGAAAGUCUGAACGAGGAACGCCGGGGGAGUGAAGAAGGUUUUCGGAUCGUAAAACUCUGUUGGUAGAGAAGAAAGUUGGUGAGAGUGGAAAGCUCAUCAAGUGACGGUAACUACCCAGAAAGGGACGGCUAACUACGUG
rnacentral:rRNA from 1 species